rnacentral:rRNA from 1 species
UGUGAGCUCGAUGAGUAGGGCGGGACACGUGGUAUCCUGUCUGAAUAUGGGGGGACCAUCCUCCAAGGCUAAAUACUCCUGACUGACCGAUAGUGAACCAGUACCGUGAGGGAAAGGCGAAAAGAACCCCGGCGAGGGGAGUGAAAAAGAACCUGAAACCGUGUACGUACAAGCAGUGGGAGCACGCUUAGGCGUGUGACUGCGUACCUUUUGUAUAAUGGGUCAGCGACUUAUAUUCUGUAGCAAGGUUAACCGAAUAGGGGAGCCGAAGGGAAACCGAGUCUUAACUGGGCGUUAAGUUGCAGGGUAUAGACCCGAAACCCGGUGAUCUAGCCAUGGGCAGGUUGAAGGUUGGGUAACACUAACUGGAGGACCGAACCGACUAAUGUUGAAAAAUUAGCGGAUGACUUGUGGCUGGGGGUGAAAGGCCAAUCAAACCGGGAGAUAGCUGGUUCUCCCCGAAAGCUAUUUAGGUAGCGCCUCGUGAAUUCAUCUCCGGGGGUAGAGCACUGUUUCGGCAAGGGGGUCAUCCCGACUUACCAACCCGAUGCAAACUGCGAAUACCGGAGAAUGUUAUCACGGGAGACACACGGCGGGUGCUAACGUCCGUCGUGAAGAGGGAAACAACCCAGACCGCCAGCUAAGGUCCCAAAGUCAUGGUUAAGUGGGAAACGAUGUGGGAAGGCCCAGACAGCCAGGAUGUUGGCUUAGAAGCAGCCAUCAUUUAAAGAAAGCGUAAUAGCUCACUGGUCGAGUCGGCCUGCGCGGAAGAUGUAACGGGGCUAAACCAUGCACCGAAGCUGCGGCAGCGACGCUUAUGCGUUGUUGGGUAGGGGAGCGUUCUGUAAGCCUGUGAAGGUGUACUGUGAGGUAUGCUGGAGGUAUCAGAAGUGCGAAUGCUGACAUAAGUAACGAUAAAGCGGGUGAAAAGCCCGCUCGCCGGAAGACCAAGGGUUCCUGUCCAACGUUAAUCGGGGCAGGGUGAGUCGACCCCUAAGGCGAGGCCGAAAGGCGUAGUCGAUGGGAAACAGGUUAAUAUUCCUGUACUUGGUGUUACUGCGAAGGGGGGACGGAGAAGGCUAUGUUGGCCGGGCGACGGUUGUCCCGGUUUAAGCGUGUAGGCUGGUUUUCCAGGCAAAUCCGGAAAAUCAAGGCUGAGGCGUGAUGACGAGGCACUACGGUGCUGAAGCAACAAAUGCCCUGCUUCCAGGAAAAGCCUCUAAGCAUCAGGUAACAUCAAAUCGUACCCCAAACCGACACAGGUGGUCAGGUAGAGAAUACCAAGGCGCUUGAGAGAACUCGGGUGAAGGAACUAGGCAAAAUGGUGCCGUAACUUCGGGAGAAGGCACGCUGAUAUGUAGGUGAAGCGACUUGCUCGUGGAGCUGAAAUCAGUCGAAGAUACCAGCUGGCUGCAACUGUUUAUUAAAAACACAGCACUGUGCAAACACGAAAGUGGACGUAUACGGUGUGACGCCUGCCCGGUGCCGGAAGGUUAAUUGAUGGGGUUAGCGCAAGCGAAGCUCUUGAUCGAAGCCCCGGUAAACGGCGGCCGUAACUAUAACGGUCCUAAGGUAGCGAAAUUCCUUGUCGGGUAAGUUCCGACCUGCACGAAUGGCGUAAUGAUGGCCAGGCUGUCUCCACCCGAGACUCAGUGAAAUUGAACUCGCUGUGAAGAUGCAGUGUACCCGCGGCAAGACGGAAAGACCCCGUGAACCUUUACUAUAGCUUGACACUGAACAUUGAGCCUUGAUGUGUAGGAUAGGUGGGAGGCUUUGAAGUGUGGACGCCAGUCUGCAUGGAGCCGACCUUGAAAUACCACCCUUUAAUGUUUGAUGUUCUAACGUUGACCCGUGAUCCGGGUUGCGGACAGUGUCUGGUGGGUAGUUUGACUGGGGCGGUCUCCUCCUAAAGAGUAACGGAGGAGCACGAAGGUUGGCUAAUCCUGGUCGGACAUCAGGAGGUUAGUGCAAUGGCAUAAGCCAGCUUGACUGCGAGCGUGACGGCGCGAGCAGGUGCGAAAGCAGGUCAUAGUGAUCCGGUGGUUCUGAAUGGAAGGGCCAUCGCUCAACGGAUAAAAGGUACUCCGGGGAUAACAGGCUGAUACCGCCCAAGAGUUCAUAUCGACGGCGGUGUUUGGCACCUCGAUGUCGGCUCAUCACAUCCUGGGGCUGAAGUAGGUCCCAAGGGUAUGGCUGUUCGCCAUUUAAAGUGGUACGCGAGCUGGGUUUAGAACGUCGUGAGACAGUUCGGUCCCUAUCUGCCGUGGGCGCUGGAGAACUGAGGGGGGCUGCUCCUAGUACGAGAGGACCGGAGUGGACGCAUCACUGGUGUUCGGGUUGUCAUGCCAAUGGCACUGCCCGGUAGCUAAAUGCGGAAGAGAUAAGUGCUGAAAGCAUCUAAGCACGAAACUUGCCCCGAGAUGAGUUCUCCCUGACCCUUUAAGGGUCCUGAAGGAACGUUGAAGACGACGACGUUGAUAGGCCGGGUGUGUAAGCGCAGCGAUGCGUUGAGCUAACCGGUACUAAUGAACCGUGAGGCUUAACCUU